rnacentral:rRNA from 1 species
GUUGUACUAUAGGAAUUGCCUGCCCUUAAAUAAUUAAGGGCCGCAGUAUUAUAACUGUGCAAAGGUAGCAUAAUCAUUAGGUUUUUAAUUGGAAUCUCGUAUGAAUGGUUGGACAAGAGAAAAUCUGUCUUUAUAUUAAAAAUUGAAUUUAACUUUUAAGUGAAAAGGCUUAAAUAUUCUAGAGGGACGAUAAGACCCUAUAAAACUUUACAUUGUGAUUAGAAUUUAGUUAAAUUUAGAAGUAAAAACUUGAUUAAAAUUGUUUGGUGUUGGGGAGAUAUAAGUAAAAUUUAUUUUAACUGCUUAAAUUGUUAAACAGUUAUAAGUGAAAAUAGUUGAUCCUUUUUAAAGAUUAGUAGUUUAAGUUACUUUAGGGAUAACAGCGUAAUUUUUUUUAAGAGUUCUUAUCGAAAAAGAAGAUUGCGACCUCGAUGUUGAAUUAAAAAGUCUAUAUAAUGGAGAUGUUAUAUAAGAAGGUCUGUUCGACCUUUAA